rnacentral:tRNA from 2 species
AGGUCUGUGGUGUAGAGGAUAUCACUGGAGCCUCCGGAGCUCCGAACCUGGGUUCGAUUCCCAGCAGACCUGC